UAUAAGAGCUUGAAAUAUAUAUUCACCUAGAAUGAUCUCAACAUGUCGGAGGUGUUGGAUAGAGCUCCUCAAGAUCUACAUUAUAAAAUCUUAUAUUACCCGGGUAAGGGCAAUGUGAUAGCUGACAUGCUCAACAAGAAAAGUGUAAGUAUGUUGACUCACUUAAUGGUUUCUGAAUGCAGGGUAAUAAGGGCUGCGCGACUUCAGAAUUUGAAAAGAGCUACAUACCUAGCCUAUCUAGUUGUU
rnacentral:lncRNA from 1 species